AAAAUUUCCAAUUGCGGUGCCCAUCCGAUGGACACAAUUCCUUUGCCGCGAAUUGUGUCGGCAAAACCCAGCGGCAAAGCAUCAACAUCAUCGGUAGCCCAUUCGGGUUUCCUCAGUGCCCACAAGAAUGGCAAUCCAGAUAGCUCAAGCCCGUACGCAAUCUCAUAAACUUGAUCUUUACUGAGCUUACACUCACUUCCAAACCCAACAAACACAACCGAUCUAGGCUUCUGCUCAUCAAGCCAUUGAAAUAUCUUACUAAUCUGAUGAUCUCUUCCUUUUGCAGAAUUCGGUUCCGGUGUGAGCAACCCCACUGGAAUUACUGGCUUCCCAGUAAGCUUUUCAAGUAAAUUCAAGUAUUCACCUUCAAAUUCAG
rnacentral:lncRNA from 1 species